rnacentral:rRNA from 1 species
AUACGUAGGGUGCAAGCGUUAAUCGGAAUUACUGGGCGUAAAGCGUGCGCAGGCGGUUUUGUAGGACAGUGGUGAAAUCCCCGGGCUCAACCUGGGAACUGCCAUUGUGACUGCAAGGCUGGAGUGCGGCAGAGGGGGAUGGAAUUCCGCGUGUCGCAGUGAAAUGCGUAGAUAUGCGGAGGAACACCGAUGGCGAAGGCAAUCCCCUGGGCCUGCACUGACGCUCAUGCACGAAAGCGUGGGGAGCAAACAGGAUUAGAUACCCUGGUAGUCCACGCCCUAAACGAUGUCAACUGGUUGUUGGGGAUUUAUUUUCUCAGUAACGAAGCUAACGCGUGAAGUUGACCGCCUGGGGAGUACGGCCGCAAGGUUGUAACUCAAAUGAAUUGGCGGGG